UGAAUACGAGAUGCUACGGCGUCGAAGCAGUCUAUGUCAUACUUCCAAGAAAAGCUUGCACUGUCAUAAACAAAUAAUGCCUGUACCAUAACCGACACAGGUGGGUAGGUAGAGUAUACUAAGGGGCGCGAGAUAACUCUCUCUAAGGAACUCGGCAAAAUGACUCCGUAACUUCGGGAGAAGGAGUGCCUUAUUUAUAAGGUUGCAAUAACAAGAUCCAAGCAACUGUUUACCAAAAACACAGGUCUCCGCUAAGCCGUAAGACGAUGUAUGGGGGCUGACGCCUGCCCAGUGCCAGAAGGUUAAAGAAGUUGGUUAGCAUCCGCGAAGCUGAUAACUGAAGCCCUGGUGAACGGCGGCCGUAACUAUAACGGUCCUAAGGUAGCGAAAUUCCUUGUCGGGUAAGUUCCGACCCGCACGAAAGGCGUAAUGAUUUGGAUACUGUCUCGGAGAGGGGCUCGGUGAAAUAGACUUGUCUGUGAAGAUGCGGACUACCUGCACCAGGACAGAAAGACCCUAUGAAGCUUUACUGUAACCUGAAAUUGAAAUUGGACUUUACUUGCGCAGUAUAGGUGGGAGGCGUUGAGAAUAUUCUUGCGGGAUUAUUGGAGCCAUCAGUGAGAUACCACUCUUGUAAUGUUAGAUUUCUAACUUUGUAUCAUUAUCUGGUCAAAGAACAGUUUCAGGCGGGCAGUUUGACUGGGGCGGUCGCCUCCUAAACGGUAACGGAGGCGCACAAAGGUUUCCUCUGAACGGGUAGAAAUCGUAUCUAGAGUGUAAAGGCAUAAGGAAGCUUGACUGUGAGACCUACAAGUCGAGCAGGGACGAAAGUCGGUCUUAGUGAUCUGACGGUGCUGAGUGGAAAGGCCGUCACUCAACGGAUAAAAGUUACUCUAGGAUAACAGGCUGAUCUCCCCCAAGAGUUCACAUCGACGGGGAGGUUUGGCACCUCGAUGUCGGCUCAUCGCAUCCUGGGGCGGUAGUACGUCCCAAGGGUUGGGCUGUUCGCCCAUGAAAGCGGUACGCGAGCUGGGUUCAGAACGUCGUGAGACAGUUCGGUCCAUAUCCGGUGUAGGCGUUAGAAUAUUGAGAGGAGCCUUCUUUAGUACGAGAGGACCGAGAAGGACAUACCUCUGGUGUACCAGUUAUCGUGCCAACGGUAAACGCUGGGUAGCUAUGUGUGGAGUGGAUAACCGCUGAAAGCAUCUAAGUGGGAAGCCCACCUCAAGAUAAGUAUUCUC
rnacentral:rRNA from 1 species